rfam:Hypsibius dujardini strain Z151 scaffold0126, whole genome shotgun sequence.
GCCGCCUUAGCUCAGAUGGUAGAGCGUUUGCCUAGUAAGCAAAAGGUAAAGAGUUCGAUCCUCUUAGGUGGCU